GAGUGAACGCUGGCGGUAGGCCUAACACAUGCAAGUCGAACGGCAGCACAGUAAGAGCUUGCUCUUACGGGUGGCGAGUGGCGGACGGGUGAGGAAUACAUCGGAAUCUACUUUUUCGUGGGGGAUAACGUAGGGAAACUUACGCUAAUACCGCAUACGACCUACGGGUGAAAGCAGGGGAUCUUCGGACCUUGCGCGAUUGAAUGAGCCGAUGUCGGAUUAGCUAGUUGGCGGGGUAAAGGCCCACCAAGGCGACGAUCCGCAGCUGGUCUGAGAGGAUGAUCAGCCACACUGGAACUGAGACACGGUCCAGACUCCUACGGGAGGCAGCAGUGGGGAAUAUUGGACAAUGGGCGCAAGCCUGAUCCAGCCAUACCGCGUGGGUGAAGAAGGCCUUCGGGUUGUAAAGCCCUUUUGUUGGGAAAGAAAAGCAGCAGGUUAAUACCCCGCUGUUCUGACGGUACCCAAAGAAUAAGCACCGGCUAACUUCGUG
rnacentral:rRNA from 1 species